rnacentral:rRNA from 1 species
UACGUAGGUGGCAAGCGUUGUCCGGAAUUAUUGGGCGUAAAGCGCGCGCAGGCGGUCCUUUAAGUCUGAUGUGAAAGCCCACGGCUCAACCGUGGAGGGUCAUUGGAAACUGGGGGACUUGAGUGCAGAAGAGGAAAGCGGAAUUCCACGUGUAGCGGUGAAAUGCGUAGAGAUGUGGAGGAACACCGGUGGCGAAGGCGGCUUCUUGGGCCGUUUCUGACGCUGAGGCGCGAAAGCCAGGGGAGCGAACGGG